rnacentral:rRNA from 1 species
UAGGGAAUCUUCCACAAUGGACGCAAGUCUGAUGGAGCAACGCCGCGUGAGUGAAGAAGGUUUUCGGACCGUAAAGCUCUGUUGUUGGUGAAGAAGGAUAGAGGUAGUAACUGGCCUUUAUUUGACGGUAAUCAACCAGAAAGUCACGGCUAACUACGUGCCAGCAGCCGCGGUAAUACGUAGGUGGCAAGCGUUGUCCGGAUUUAUUGGGCGUAAAGCGAGCGCAGGCGGAAGAAUAAGCCUGAUGUGAAAGCCCUCGGCUUAACCGAGGAAUUGCAUCGGAAACUGUUUUCUUGAGUGCAGAAGAGGAGAGUAGAACUCCAUGUGUAGCGGUGGAAGUGCGUAGAUAUAUGGAAGAAUACCAGUGGCGAAGGCGGCUCUCUGGUCUGCAACUGACGCUGAGGCUCGAAAGCAUGGGUAGCGAACAGGAUUAGAUACCCUGGUAGUCCAUGCCGUAAACGAUGAGUGCUAAGUGUUGGGAGGCUUCCGCCUCUCAGUGCUGCAGCUAACGCAUUAAGCACUCCGCCUGGGGGAGUACGACCGCAAGGUUGAAAC